CCUCUCUCUGUCUCUCUCUCUCUAAAAAUUCCCGUAUACGUUGCUUUCCCUAUACUUCAAAUGGCUGAUACGUAAUCUCUUUAUAGAGACAAUUAACAUAUACACAUUGCAACCAAACAACAUACCUCAACCAAGCCCAAGCUACUACAGCUAAACAGAAUCAUUCACUGCCAUUGAAGCUCCUCCAAGCUCAACUGCUCGCCCUCUUCAACCACCAUUUUUAUCCUUCUCUUUGUAACAAACAACCAAAACCCACUUCCUUUCUCUUUUUCCAGACCUGGGUUUUAUUCAAUUUCGUCUCUUUUUUUACUUCUUUUGCUCGUUAUGGAGCUACCCACUGGACCUGGACAUAGAUCCAGUCCCAUGAGACCUCAAUCUGAGGAUACUGUGUUUGAUUCUCUCCAAUUUGGCGAAGAUAUCCAACACUUAAUCUCCGUGCCGCCGGAAAAUGCCAGCUCCUUCACUGCCCUUCUCGAGUUGCCGCCUAAUCAGGCCGUGGAGCUUUUACACUCGCCUGAUUCGACUCUCAGAACCCGAACCGUUGUCGAGACCCACCAUCAAAAACCGUAUCUACAGCCCCAGUUCAAUGCUGCGAAUUUGGCGUUUCCUACUAACAGUGGUUUGAUAGAGCGAGCCGCAAGAUUGUCGGUGUUCGCUGGUGAGAAUUUGAACAAUAUUAGCAAUAAUUCGCUGGAGACGAGCUCAGGACCGUCGAAUUCCAUUGCGAAUCUCGAGAAAGUAGUUAAGAGUGAACCCGCAGAGGCCGAAUCUGACCUGAAUCCAUCGCAGCCGUUGGUUUCCGAUCCGACGACUGUUGAGAACGGGGCACAGAAUCAGAGGCCGGUGAAGAGGAAGGAGCGAGAGAAGAAGGUAGACAAAAUUAGGGUUUCAACGGUUCUCCCUUUUUCAGUAGCGUUAAUUUUUAGUUUUUUAAACUAAUUAAUUGAGGGUAUUCUAGGGUAAAAGCUCGACAAAGAAGAGUAAAAGUUCCGGGAAUGAUAACUCUGAAGAUGCUGAGAAGCUUCCUUAUGUUCACGUUCGAGCUCGUCGUGGUCAAGCCACAGACAGCCAUAGCUUAGCAGAGAGAGUAAUCUCAUAAAUUAACAACUUAAUUUAGUUAAUUGACCUUUAAUUUGUUUAAUUAGUAAUUAAUUGCCAAAAUUUAAAGCUGAUUGUGACAUGAAUAUGGGUUGUUUCUAGGCGAGGAGAGAGAAGAUCAAUGCAAGGAUGAAGCUACUUCAAGAGCUGGUCCCAGGCUGCAACAAGAUUUCUGGAACAGCAUUGGUACUGGAUGAGAUCAUCAAUCAUGUACAGUCACUACAACGCCAAGUGGAGGUCAGACUUGCAUAUCUGAUGCAUUUAUUUAUUUUUUUAUAGAAAUAAUUAAAAUUCUUGAAAUUGAGGGGAAAUUGAAUUGUGAUUUUUCAUUUUAUUCAUUUAUUUAUUUUGGAGGCAGGGGUGUGUUGGGAUUUGUGAAAAAUGUUUUGUUCAAUUAUUAAAGGGUCAAGUUGUCUUACUUUAUCACUUGUACAGAGAGGUGGCUGUUUUCUGCACUUUGUGUUGCAGUGGUACAUUAAUAUGUUGGUUCAAUUAUGACUACAGAAAAACAACAACUAAGGCUUAAAUUCUAUUGUGACUAAUGCAUGAUUAUUUUGGACCAUCUAAUUUAUUUAUUUAUUUUGCCAUGUCUCUUGUGCCAUUUCCCCUGCCAAAAGGUACUAGCAUCCAUUGCUUUCCGAUCCUAAUCACCAUGGUAACAAAUCAAGUGCAUAACAAAAUUCCCUCUAUAAUUAAGCAAAGCUGCAUGAAAAGUUGGCAAGCUUCAAGUAUUUUCUGAUUUUAAUGUGUUGAUUAAAUGCCAGUCUUAUUUCUGGUCUAAUGUUUCUUUGGUUUCAGUUCUUAUCAAUGAGACUUGCAGCAGUGAACCCGAGAAUUGAUUUCAAUCUUGACAGUACAUUAGCUGCAGAAGUAAGUAUACUUCUUCACUUAAUCAUAAUUAUUACAAGGGUACAUUAAGUUUUGCCUUUUCCCACAACUAUGCAAAAGUCCAGAUCCAUUGUAGGGGCAUGUUGGAUGGAUUGUGUUCCUGAAGAGAUUUGCAUAUGAAGGUGCAAGUAUGCCUGAAUGUGUAGGUGGAUGACAACCUUAGUAAUAAUAAUGUGAUUGCUUUUUGAGAAUUCCAUCUGUUUGCCUAGAAGAAAAGUUUCCUUCCAUCGGUGCAUGCAAAGCUGUGUGUCCAAUUUGGGCCACACGAUUUCAUCUGCCCACAGAAUUUUAAAUGUAAAGUUGUCCUGAAAUGGUGGGUGCACCUUUAAGGCCCCUUGGACUAUGCACUAUACAGUGGUAUCUUAUCUCGACUUGCCAUGCGGGGGCAGAAAAAACCAAAAUAGAAGGAAAAAAAUGUGAUGCCAUGCGAAUGUAGAUAUUGUAAACGAGUAUUGUGGGGAUUGUAUUUCCUUAAUCAGAUCAGCUAAUUACUACUGAUGGUUGGUAUUUUAUCAUGUUGCUAAUGACUUUUGAUUGUGUUUUAAAACUUGCAGGGUGGAUCUUUAAUGGACAGUAAUUUCCCCAGCAUGGUUAUGCCUCUGACGUGGCCAGAAGUCCAAGUUAAUGGGAACAGACAAAAUUAUCAACAACAAUGGCAUUUUGAUGCAGUUAACCAACCGGUUUGGGGAAGAGAAGAAGACAGCUAUAACUUCAUUACUCCAGAGAACUCCCUUUUGAGUUAUGACUCCUCAGCCAAUUCAGGUAGACUAAAAUUAGCUACAAUUUCUCUUGGAACAAGUACUCCCAUUGUCUCCUAGCAAAUUUCAUUCUCAUUAUCAUGCUGCUUUUUAAAUCUUUUGAAUGGAAAAAGAAUGUCAACAUUGGAUGAUGAAAUCAAAACACAGAAUAUGACUCUAUCACUGAUGAAUUUUCCAGUUCCUGAAAUUAUUUUUGCUAUAUUGUGUGUGAAAUAAACAAAUCAUAUUGGGAUGUGAAGAAUGGCACAGAAAAUUGAUUGCUAUUUGCUAGCUGUCAAUUUUACCUUCUACUGUGUUACCUUAUGUAGUAUAGAUUGAAACCUUGAGACUAACUGCAUAUUGUGAUCAUGGCGCAGCGUCUCUGCACUCGAAUCAAUUGAAAAUGGAGCUGUGAGGGCUGAAUGAAGCUACAUUGAUUGUGUGUAUAUAACCAAAUAUUAGUAAUUAGCAGCAAGUAGAGAGGGAGGCCUCUUACCAUUCAUCUCGGGUUUCCAUGCAGUCUCUUUAACAGAGUGGGUUGGAGACUCUGAAUUCUCUCAACUGGGGUUUCAGAAAUUUCAAUAUGUUAUUCUUAUAUAAAUAUAUAAUUCAGUGCAUAUAUAUAUAUAUACUAACUGUGAGAGUCAUUCAAUCAAAUACUUGAGUUGUGAGAUGAUUGAUUGAUUCAUAUUGUAGAAACGCAUAAUGAUUCAUCAUCCCAUCCCUUAACUAUUGUGGAAGUCUGGCUUCUUUUUGUGUUACAUUUAUUUUAUCCCCUUUUAACAGUUUCACUCCAUAUCUUCAGUUACAACCCACAAGUCCAUUGCUUUUGCUUGAUUAGGAUCUUUAAAAAUAAAACUUACGGGCUAUAUUAACGACCAUAAAUUAAAAAAAAAAGAAUUGGUUAUAUAUAUGGCUAAAUUUUAUCCAUGAAUAUGCAAGAGGCCUUACUAUAAAUGUCUUUGAAGGUCCUGAAAUGAUAUUUGAUGUCAACAACACCCUGUUGAACGAUUGUCGUGAACAGAAAGGCCAUUAGAGAAGGCCGAAAGGUCCAUGCCCACAUGAUCAAAACAUGUCAUCUCCCACCUCUUUAUCUCAGAACCAGAUUGAUUAUAUUGUAUGCCAAGGCAUGUAUUCGAUGAAAUGCCUGAGAGGAAUGUGGUUUCUUGGGCUGAUGAUUUCAGGUUAUUCUGAGGGAUGGUUUAGCUUUGAAGCCUUGCGUCUUUUUGUGCGGAUGUUGAGAUCAGUAUUCAUCUAUUUUGAGAGGGUUAUUGUAACAUUAUCAAAGUUCAAAUUGGAGUUAUGAUGAUGCGUCUGUGUUACUAGCAUCAGCAAACAAUUAGUGCAGGUACAGAACCAAAUGAGUUCACUUCACUUUUGCUGCAGUACUACUAGUUUCUUGCACAGGUAUUCUC
rnacentral:misc_RNA from 1 species